UACGUAGGGGGCAAGCGUUGUCCGGAAUCAUUGGGCGUAAAGCGCGUGUAGGCGGCUUGGUAAGUCUGCUCUGAAAGCCCGGGGCUCAACCCUGGGAGGCGGGUGGAUACUGCUGAGCUCGAGUCCGGAAGAGGCGAGUGGAAUUCCUGGUGUAGCGGUGAAAUGCGCAGAUAUCAGGAGGAACACCAAUGGCGAAGGCAGCUCGCUGGGACGGUACUGACGCUGAGACGCGAAAGCGUGGGGAGCGAACAGG
rnacentral:rRNA from 1 species